GUGUUGUAUGAAAGGGGAGACGGUUAGAACUCCCUUUGACAAGGAUGGAGGAGUCCCUCAUACCUCCCAGCAUGCGUGUUGUUAAGGUACCUGUUUUGCAGCAUCUAACCAAAGUUUUUC
rnacentral:ncRNA from 1 species